GCCAGGUAUGGUGGCGCAUGCCUGUAGUCCCAGCUACUUGGGAGGCUGAGGUGGGAGGAUCACUUGAGCCCAGGAGUUCUGGGCUGUAGUGUGCUAUGCCAAUCGGGUGUCCGCACUAAGUUAGGCAUCAAUAUGGUGACCUCCUGGGAGCGGGGUACCACCAGGUUGCCUAAGGUGGGGUGAACCGGCCCAGGUCGGAAAUGGAGCAGGUCAAAACUCCCGUGAUCGGCAAAAGAAACAGUCACUAGAGUGGAUCGGCAACCAACAGAAUGGGAAAAAAUUUUUGCAGUUUAC
ensembl:misc_RNA Metazoa_SRP Metazoan signal recognition particle RNA